UACGUAGGGGGCAAGCGUUGUCCGGAAUGACUGGGCGUAAAGCGCGCGCAGGCGGUCUUUUAAGUCUGAGGUGAAAGGCUGGGGCUCGACCCUGGCAUCGCCUUGGAAACGGGAAGACUUGAGGACUGGAGAGGCAAGGGGAAUUCCACGUGUAGCGGUGAAAUGCGUAGAGAUGUGGAGGAAUACCAGUGGCGAAGGCGCCUUGCUGGACAGUGCCUGACGCUGAGGCGCGAAGGCGUGGGGAGCAAACAGGAUUAGAUACCCUGGUAGUCCACGCGGUAAACGAUGAGUGCUAGGUGUCGGAGGGUACCACCUCCGGUGCCGAAGGAAACCCAAUAAGCACUCCGCCUGGGGAGUACGGUCGCAAGACUGAAACUCAAAGGAAUUGACGGGGGCCCGCACAAGCAGUGGAGCAUGUGGUUUAAUUCGAAGCAACGCGAAGAACCUUACCAGGACUUGACAUCCCCCUGACGGGAGUAGAGAUAUUCCGUCCCUUCGGGGCAGGGGAGACAGGUGGUGCAUGGUUGUCGUCAGUUCGUGUCGUGAGAUGUUGGGUUAAGUCCCGCAACGAGCGCAACCCUUGAUCAGUGUUACCAGCACGUAAUGGUGGGGACUCACUGAUGACUGCCGGUGACAAACCGGAGGAAGGCGGGGAUGACGUCAAAUCAUCAUGCCCCUUAUGUCCUGGGCCACACACGUGCUACAAUGGGCGGUACAACGGGGAGCAAGAGAGCGAUCUGGAGCGAAACCCUAAAAGCCGUUCGUAGUUCGGAUUGCAGGCUGCAACCCGCCUGCAUGAAGCCGGAAUUGCUAGUAAUCGCGGAUCAGCAUGCCGCGGUGAAUCCGUUCCCGGGCCU
rnacentral:rRNA from 1 species